rnacentral:lncRNA from 1 species
GUGAAACCCAGAAGGCGGCCCAGUACAAAGAUAGGUCGCUAAAUUGCUCAGGGCUGUGGGUGACUGAAACUUGACCCCAUACAACCUUCUGAAAAGCCUUAAGUGAACUGUGAUUCAGAAUUGCCCCUCCAGGGGACAGUUUACUUAAAGGCUUCCCUCUCCCUGGAUGGAGGUGGCCCCUGGGCACCGAUGAUGCCUCUCUUUUUAGGUUGCACACGUAAGUGCCCAGUGGACUCCACAGAAGCCCCGGAGAAGAAGUGAACGGUGGAAGGUGCAGAAUGAGGUAAAGCCAUGUCAGGUGACCUGCUUCAAAUUAGUUCAGAAUGGCUUUCCACUGCACCAACUGGGAUCAGAGGUGAGACCGGGAGGUUUUGAAAUGGUGCACAAGUUACCACCAUGCCUAACAAACAUGAAAACAAAACAAUAACAACAACAACAAAAAUUGCGACAUAGCUUGGCUUGGUUAUUUAUAGCACGUAUUACAUACCAUCUGUUUGUUAAAAAAAAAAAAAAUAGGUACACCUAAACAUUAACUCUUAAUGCUAUUUUUCCAGAUACUAUGUGUUUCUGUAGAAUUAGGAAAUGCAAUCCCCAAGACCCAUCUGUUUGUUUAUUUUUUUUUUGUACUAAAUUAUAGAUAACAUGACCUAAUUGAAAGAGACCCAGACCAAAACUUUGGAGAAAUUUCUUCAUUUCUCUGGUGAAGCAGGGGGGGGGGGGGACAGGGUAAAUUGCUACCAUUCUCCCUGCCUGCAUUCUAUUGUUGUGUGGGUUUGGGAAUGUGGGGGAGGAGUUUCAUAAAAUAACCUAUUUGAAAAUAGUUUAUAAAAGAGGAGGGCUUGCUAUAAUUUGUGUAUUAGGUAUUGAUUACUAAAGUCUAUUUCCCCCCAAGAUUCUACCGUAAAAUAAUUUUAAGUUGUCAAACCAAAUCAAUAAAACUAGAGCACCUACUUUGCCAGUCACCACAAAGGAUACAAAGAUGCACAAAGAGGAGUGACAUGAGGAAUUAGGGUAGUGCCUGAGUAGUACUAUGACCACUGCUAUUGCAGGAAGAAAGAGUAUGAGCAUCAGAUGGAACUGUCCAGAAAUAAAGUCUUGGAUUUUUCUCAGGUUGAGCCUGACUUUCCUGAGAUUAUGAGAAGUGUAACCUCUCUUAUAUUUCCAUAUAGCACUUCUAUAAUAUUAUUUUACACUUAAUAUGCAGCCUUUUCAACCUAUCUAAUAUUUUAUUUUUAAUUUGUGAGAAGUGGUAUGCAAUUUUAUAUUUUUCCAGAAAGAUAGACAUUUUUUUCUAACACCUCUUGUUAAAUAUUCUAUCAUUUUCACUGUUUUGAAAUGCUAUCUUUAUUUUAUUUUAUUCUUAAAUGUGGUCUCUGGUCUAUGCCAUUGACAUAUUGUCUUUUCCAGCAACAAUUCCACAUUAUUUAAUUGAGGCAGGUUUAUAGUUUGAUAAGCGGUAGGUCAAUAUUACCCCUAUUAUUCUUGUUUUUCUUGAUUAUCCUUAUGUAUUUACUUUGCUGGAUGAUGUUUAUAAUCUCUUUAUUUUAUUGUAAAAUCCUAUUAGAACUUGGGUCAUGAUUUGCUUAUAUUUCCUGUAUGAAAUAUUAUCCAAAGUCAUCUCUUUAGAAUAAGGUGAAGAGAAGACCAGAUGUUUGGAGAGAGAGGAGGGAUGCAGCAGCUGUUGUAAAGAGCAGAAGAGUUAAAUUAUCAGAUCACCCUGCAGAUAAGGAGGUAACCAAGGAUUUGAUAAUAGCACUAAUCUACAGUUUAGGUGAUUUUCUGCUCAGGAGUAGGCAUGAAGAAUGAUCUGGCCGAAUUCAAUCUGGGAUUGGAUUUAGUAAAACAAGCUUAAGAUGGGAGGGAUAUAUUUAUUUGUCUUUCUUUUAGAAUAGAAAAAAAAUGUGUUUUUCUUUCACCAGAAAGAAAUGUGAAUAAAGAGAGGUGUAACUUUUUGUUUCAUUCUUUAAAAAAUAUUAGUAAAACACAAGUAUUAAUUUGUGGACCCCAAACCCCCCUUAAAUUACAAUGGAACUUUGUAUUGUGUAAAUAACUUAGUGUGUGUGUGUGUGUGUGUGUGUGUCAUAUUAUACUUGAAAUAUUUUCCUGUGACACAAGAGCACUAUUUGGUGUAAAGCCCUAUUUUUUUUUGAGUGUGUAUAUUUCUCCCUAACAUUUUCUUUCUUUGGAAUUAAGCAUUCUCAAAUGUAUUCCCAGGGGAAUCUGGAAAUGUUGGUACAUAUCCAUUUGGCAGUUUAGGGAUUUGUUAGAGUGUGGGAAAAUUCAGAGGUUAUUUUCAGGUUAAGGCAUCUAAAUAUUUCUUUCUAGGUCCAGAACACAGCUUGUUUUUAAACUGUAAAGACACUGUAGUCUUGGUGCCCUUUUAAAAAGGAAAUUGCUGCCAUCUUUAACUAAAUAAUGUUUGAAAUAAAUACCAAUUUAGAAAAUUAGAGAAUUUUUAAAAUUGCCUGUUGGUUUUUAUGUUUCCUUAGGCAAGCAAAGUUAAAGAACUAUUAAAUAAGAUGGUUGUAAAGGUAAAUCCAUGGAUAUCAUAAACAAACCUUUUUACCUUUUUCUUCACUAUGAAUAGGGGCUUUAGCAGGGUGAAUCUCUGCUCCACCCUGGGAAAUAACUCCAAGGCUUUCCUCUGGGGCUUCCUGAACUCAGGGUGCUGCCCAUUCCCAUCACAGUUCUCUCAGCCCAAUUGUCUGAUAGGUGGGGAAAGACCCAGAAUUCAACUACUGCAAGGAAGGGGAAAUAGUGCUGUGUACGUGUACGUUGGUUACGAAAAGGCUGCUGUUUUCAUGGUUCCCAUCAGCCUUCAGAACAUUCCCCAUAUUCCUUCAGCCAAGGGAAGCUGGAUCCAUGCAAUUCUAAAUAUGCUACUCCUGUCUAGAUGCUCACUGAUCAAAAAUGUGGUCAGGUGGGGUGACUACAUAUUUCAAGAGUUGCCAGCAUAUACAUUCAACUCAUGUGUCUUACGUAUAAUCAACCACGACUCAUUCCCUGAGCUUUGAGGUGAGACAAUGAAAAUAAACAUGAUAUACCAACAUAUUCUUGGCACAUACCAUGAAUUAAAAUAUUCACAUUUCAGAGUUGGACUCCUCUUGACACUUUUACUCUUGACACUUUUACUUUUAUCCACACUUUCUCUGGCAAUAAUAAAUUCAGUAAAAUUUAUCCAAGACUAUAUUUCUUCCAUCCAUUCCUUCCUAUCCACUGGUACUGCUAAGUUGUUGAUUCAUCUACAUCAUCUCUUACCUGGUCUCUUAUAAAAUCCUGAUAAACAGUCUCUCUCACCCUUCAAAAAUGUGUGUGUAUUUACAGUACUUCUGUGACUAACAGUUUUCUAUUGUUCAUCGGCCCAAAUCAUUGAUUAGAAUUCCUCCAAAUUUGGGUCUUUACCUAUGUUCCCUGCCUCAUCUCUGUUAAUCUCCCAUUGCUUGUGCUCCUACCACAUAGAACUGUCUGUAGUUCUAGGGCUUUUCCUUCUGUCCAGAAGUGAUAUAUAAAAUAUUUAAAGAACAGAAACCAAGCAAUCAGAACAUGUCCACUUAGAACAUGUCCAUCUUAGGGCACCCUAGCACCUUGACCUUGAGUCUCUUCCUGGGGAACUUGAGCAGAUCCUUCACACUGUCUAUGGUGGAAUAGCAAUUGGGAAGGGGCUGGAUGUGAGGGAUAGUGUCAUUUAGAAAGGAUUAUUGACUUUAUUAACUUUUUCAGCUAUGCAAAGACAAGUAUUUGCACAGCAGAAACCAUUUACAGAACCUGAAAUGAACUUUUAUAUUUUUUGAGAUAGUCUGGAAAACCCACCGCUUCAUCUCUGGUUGCUUCAUAAAUAAUUUGCCUACUUCUCUUACCCAAGUUUAAGCCACAGGAGACAACCUUUCCUACCACCUCUCACAUAGUCCCACCAGCUAAUCAAUUUUUUAACCAGGCUGAUCUUUUUAUUUCCAUGCUGACUGAGAAACAUUAUGUCCUGAACUGACCUGAAAGUAUGAGGAAAAGUUCCAGUAUCUUCUCUAAUAAUAAUAAUAAUAAUAAUAAAAUACAUCCUUUUCCUUAAUCCAAAUCACAGUUGUGCGAACUCAUCAUCAUAACAUCAUUAAAGAAUUGUUAGCAAGUUGCUACUCAAUGCAAAAUGCUAAACUGGCCUUGAUAGGAAUCUAAAGAAGUAACAUGCCUCCAUGAAUUUAGAGUUGAAUGUGGAGAUAAGAUGUGAAUAGCCAAUUAAUAAUGUUGAUCCAGCAGUAAAUUAUGCACUGCUAUCCACAGUCCUGAAGAGGAAAGGGGAAUAUGUCUCUCUCCCAGGAAGGUAAAGUUUCCUGGAGGAGUUGGGGGUAUUUGCAGAGUUUCAGCCUUGGCCUAGCAGGAGAACCAGCAUAUGUGACAGACAGAGAGAACACAGGGCAGGCUAACGCAGGGCCUUGAUAUUGAGAUGAAGCUAGAAUUGUAACUGUGGUCAACCUGCCAAAGGAAGUGUACCAGGAAAAGGAAUCUGGGGAAGGUCCCUUAAGUUUUAUUAAGCAAAAACUUAACACAAUCUAAGUAGCACUUUAAAAUAUUAUGCAGUAGUAGUUAGCAAGUAGUAUGUGACAUAAUGGAGCCAAGUAUUAAAUUUGAGUCUAGUUAUGCCACUUUCUAGUUGGAUGAGCUUGGACCAGUUAACCUCCAAGUCUUCAUUUAAUCAGCUGUAAAUAUUAAACCAUUAAUUCCUCACUCUUAGGGCUCUUAUGAGAAUAAUAUUUUGCAUUUAUGAGGACUUAAUAUGGAUACAGUACUUAGCUCACACUGUGCUAAGUACUGUACCCAUGUUGUCUCAUUUAACACUUUUGUUUGCUUUUUCUUUUCAUUGUAUAAGAUAUACAUAAUAUAAAAUUCACCAUUUGAACCACAGUUCAAGGAUAUUAAAUAUAUUCACUUGUUGUGCAGCUAUCACUGACUGCCACCCAACUCCAAAAUUCUUUUCAUCUUGCAAAACUGAAACUCUGUAUCUCUGAAAUAGCACCUCCCAUUCCCUACACUCCCCAGACCAGAACACCCGCCAUUUGAUUUUCUGUCUCUAAGAAUUUGACUAUUCUAGGUACUUUGUAUAAGUACAGUCAUCAACUGUUUCUCUUUCUGUGACUGUAUUAUUUCACUUAAUGUAAUGUCUUCAAGGUUCAGCUGUAUUUUAACAUGUGCCAGAAUUUUCUUCCCAUUUAAGGUUGAAUAAUAUUCCACCAAAUGCCUUCUAUCACUGUUUUAUCAUGCAAAAAUCGGACUUAGAGAAGUUAACUUGCCCAAAAUAACAUAACUGAUAGGAGAAAGAGCUAGAAUUUGGAUGGAAACAAUCUGAUUCCAUAGCACAUCCUCAUUUUCCCUGCAUAUCCUACAUCCGGUAGGUCCCUUAACCCACCACUGCACCUGGAAGCAUAGGGGAAGGGGGAAUUGCAGGAAGGCAUUCUAUUGUUUUCGAUUAUCUAGCACCACAGCUUAUCCUGGUAACAUAAUUUCUCUUAUUUAUUUUUAUUUUUUGGUACUAGGAAUUAAACCCAAGGCUAAGCAUGCACUCUACCACUGAGCCACACCCCCAGCCCAUAAUUCCUCUUUUCUUUGGAGAACUCUUUCUAUGAUUGUACCAAUUGUACAUUUCCUCAUUCAAAGGUCACAAAGGUAUGUUUCCCAGACCAGGCCAAUCAGAGCCAUGUGUCUAGGUCCCCAUAGUGAGUGAUUCAGAAGUGGCACUUGGUUGCAAGCAGAGUUCUCUCUGGUGCUCUAAGGAAGUUCUGACCCAGUAGUUGUAGUUGACCAUUUAAAAAGCUUAGUGGGGGGACCGCAAGGGAGAUGAAGACCUGAGCAUCAUCCAAUUCCCUGGAUCUAGACAUGUUUGCAGUCAGCUACCUGCAUCAAGUCCCCAGAGAUGUGAUCCAAUAUAUUCCCAGAGAAGUGAUCCAUUCUGAGAUGUUUUUGUUUUUAAGGUAACUGGAGAUGAAUGUCUGUAACUUGGAAAAAAAAGAAACCUGACUAAUAUACAAGAUCAAAAAGGUCCUCAUGGGAAUGGAAAGGAAAAAACUAACAAGAAGUAUUGUGAAACUGUGUGAUGUGAGGAAGAGGGAAAGGUCAAGAGUCCUUUUGAGGUUUGGCUACCUGGUGACAAAGCAUAAAGCUUUUACUGAAAAGGUGGAAGAAGUUGCUAUUUUCAGUAGAGUUGGAAGAGAAAGUUUCCAAGGCUCCCAGGAGUCCAGAGCACUAGCCAGCUUCCAGAGGUAGAAUCUACAACGUGACUUGUGUCUGCUAACCCCUUCAUCCUCUUCCAGAAUCGCAAACUCAUGAAAGGGCUCAAGGUCUGAUUGGAAUAGGCCUUUUGGACUCUGGCCUUUAUCCUCUGUUAUGGUUUAGAUAUGAGAUAUUCCCCAAAAGCUCAUGUGUAAGACAAUGCAAAAAAGUUUAGAAGUGAAAUGACUGAGUUAUGAGAGUUAUAACCUAAUCAGUGCACAAAUCCUCUAAUAUGGACUAAAUGGGUGGUAACUAUAGACAGGUGGAGAAUUGUUGGAGGAAGUGGGUCACUGGGGACAUGCCUUUGGGGUUUAUAUUUUGUCCUAGGUGAGCAGAGCUCUCUCUGCUUCCUGAUUGACAUGUCAUGAGCUGCUUCCAUCCUCAGUGCCCUUCCACCAUGCUGUUCUGGGUCACCGUAGGCCUAGAGCUAUGGAAUCAGUCAUCUAUGGAUUGAGACCUUUAAAACUAUGAGCCCUAAAUAAACUUUUCCUUCUUUACGUUGUUAUUGUCAGGUCUUUUUGUCACAGUGACAAAAAAGCUGACUAAAAUAUCUCCCC